GAAAUGCGAUAAGUAAUGUGAAUUGCAGAAUACUGUGAGUCAUCAAAGGCUUGAACGCAUAUGGCGCCUGUCGAUAAAGAGACGGGCACAUCUGUUUGAGUGUCGUUUUUUCAAAAAUCAAAAAUAAGCUGUCAGGCUAUUUUUUGGAGAGUGGGCGUUCCAUUUUCAUUGGAUCGCUUGAAAUGGAGGGUUAUUAAGGAGGAUCCCAAAAAACAAAACUGGCGCAAGGGACUUUACUAAAAAGCUCGGCAAAGUUAUUUUAUUUUCGGGUCGCUCUAAUUCACACAGGAGUAAAUCAAAAUCGACCUCAAAUCAGGUGAGAUUACCCGCUGAACUUAA
rnacentral:misc_RNA from 1 species